UUUUAAUCAAUCGCCGUGUAAUGAAGAAAUACAGCGUAAAUUUCAAAAAAUUGAAUCGCCUGUAAAGGUCUAAAAAGAAGAAUACUGGAGUUAACAGCAAGCAAUUACAAUUCAAUCCAUCACAAAAAGAAAUGUCAAAGAAAUUAAUAAAUGGAUAGGUAUUCAUUACUUAUAACUUUUUUAUACAAUUAUUUACAUUAACAUAAUUAUUAUGAUCAGCUGUAAACUCCUGUAUUGCUAAGUAAUAUAAUAUUUGUUUUAGGUUAAAUCAUUUCUCUUUUAAGAGAUUAUUUUUUAUUAUAUUGACAAUCACACAAUAGAUUUUCAUGUUUUACUUCUUUGUUGAGCAAUAAAUGUAAAGAUUUUACAAUAAUGGGUUUAUUUAGUUGGUGUAUGAAGAAAAGUACAGUAGAACUUCGAUUAACUGUCACUGUCGGGACCGGGGCUAUGACGGUUAAUUGAAUAGACGGUUAACGGAAAUUUUGCAAAAAAACGUGUAAAUACAUAUUCAUACACACAUUUAUUAUAUUUUGUAUUUAUAUUAUAUAUUGGAUAUUGUAAUGAUAGCCACUCUUCACAACUAGUUAAUACAAGAACUAAGAAGAGUGUCAUCAUCAUGUCCCUCAAUAUAAUUUAUUAUAUUAUAACAUUAUAUAAUACGAUCACACAGAUAUUUAUAUUAUGAUAAACAUCUGUGGUCUUUUAUGCUUAUGUCCUUUACUCCUU